rnacentral:rRNA from 1 species
CCUACGGGAGGCUGCAGUGAGGAAUAUUGGUCAAUGGACGAGAGUCUGAACCAGCCAAGUAGCGUGAAGGAUGACUGCCCUAUGGGUUGUAAACUUCUUUUAUAUGGGAAUAAAAUGUUCCACGUGUGGGAUUUUGUAUGUACCAUAUGAAUAAGGAUCGGCUAACUCCGUGCCAGCAGCCGCGGUAAUACGGAGGAUCCGAGCGUUAUCCGGAUUUAUUGGGUUUAAAGGGAGCGUAGGUGGAUUGUUAAGUCAGUUGCGAAAGUUUGCGGCUCAACCGUAAAAUUGCAGUUGAAACUGGCAGUCUUGAGUACAGUAGAGGUGGGCGGAAUUCGUGGUGUAGCGGUGAAAUGCUUAGAUAUCACGAAGAACUCCGAUUGCGAAGGCAGCUCACUGGACUGCAACUGACACUGAGGCUCGAAAGUGUGGGUAUCAAACAGGAUUAGAUACCCUGGUAGUC